rnacentral:rRNA from 1 species
GACGAACGCUGGCGGCGUGCUUAACACAUGCAAGUCGAACGGAAAGGCCAUGCUCUUGCGGGGUGCUCGAGUGGCGAACGGGUGAGUAACACGCGAGUAACCUGCCCUUGACUUUGGGAUAACUUCAGGAAAAUGGGGCUAAUAUCGGAUAGGAGCUCCUGCUGCAUGGUGGGGGUUGGAAAGUUUCGGCGGUUGGGGAUGGACUCGCGGCUUAUCAGCUUGUUGGGGGGGUAGUGGCUUACCAAGCCUUUGAAGGGUAGCCGGCCUGAGAGGGUGACCGGCCACAUGAGUACUGAGGGACGGCGCAGACUCCUACCGGAGGCAACAGUGGAGAAUAUUACGCAAUAGGCCGGAGCCUGAGGCAGCGGCGCCGCGUUCGGAAUGACGGCCUACGGGGUGUGAACAGCUUUCGCCUUUGACGAAGCGUUAGUGACGGUAAUGGGUAAAAAAGCACCGGCUAACUACGUG